rnacentral:rRNA from 1 species
CACGUAGGGGGCGAGCGUUGUCCGGAUUUAUUGGGCGUAAAGAGCUCGUAGGCGGCUCAGUAAGUCAGGUGUGAAAACUCCAGGCUCAACCUGGAGACGCCACUUGAUACUGCUGUGGCUAGAGUCCGGUAGGGGAGCAUGGAAUUCCUGGUGUAGCGGUGAAAUGCGCAGAUAUCAGGAGGAACACCCAAUGGCGAAGGCGGGCUCUCUGGGGACGGUACUGACGCUGAGACGCGAAAGCGUGGGGAGCGAACAGG